rnacentral:ncRNA from 1 species
GUACUGUAUGAAAGGUGAAGGUUGGCACUCCUUUUAGUAAGAACAGAAAAGGCCCUCAGACCUGACAGUGCGCAAUGCACUGUAUAUAAAACUUUUUGUCUUUUUUUUUU